CCUACGGGAGGCAGCAGUGAGGAAUAUUGGUCAAUGGGCGUAAGCCUGAACCAGCCAAGUCGCGUGCGGGAUGAAGGUUCUAUGGAUCGUAAACCUCUUUUAUAAGGGAAUAAAGUGCGGGACGUGUCCCGUUUUGUAUGUACCUUAUGAAUAAGGAUCGGCUAACUCCGUGCCAGCAGCCGCGGUAAUACGGAGGAUCCGAGCGUUAUCCGGAUUUAUUGGGUUUAAAGGGUGCGUAGGCGGCAUUUUAAGUCAGCGGUGAAAGUCUGUGGCUCAACCAUGGAAUUGCCGUUGAAACUGGGAGGCUUGAGAAUGUUUGAGGCAGGCGGAAUGCGUGGUGUAGCGGUGAAAUGCUUAGAUAUCACGCAGAACCCCGAUUGCGAAGGCAGCCUGCCAAGCCAUGACUGACGCUGAUGCACGAAAGCGUGGGGAGCAAACAGGAUUAGAUACCCGGGUAGUC
rnacentral:rRNA from 1 species